rnacentral:rRNA from 1 species
UACGUAGGGUGCAAGCGUUGUCCGGAAUUAUUGGGCGUAAAGAGCUCGUAGGCGGUCUGUCGCGUCUGCUGUGAAAACUCGGGGCUUAACCCCGGGCCUGCAGUGGGUACGGGCAGACUAGAGUGCGGUAGGGGAGACUGGAAUUCCUGGUGUAGCGGUGAAAUGCGUAGAUAUCCGGGGGAACGCCGGUGGCGAAAGCGGGUCGCCGGGCCUUACCUGACGCUGAGGCGCGAAAGCCAGGGGAGCGAACGGG